rnacentral:rRNA from 1 species
AUGUCCAGGGAGAUCCAUAAGAUCGCGAGCCUGCGCCGGGACAGUUGGCGAAGCAGCGAUGACGUGUUCUCGCGGUCGUCGUCGCGCUUCCAGGACGAGGAGGACGACGAGGAGGCUCUGCGGUGGGCGGCGCUGGAGCGGCUGCCGACGUACGACCGCGUGCGGCGUGGCAUCCUGCUGGCGGAGACAGGCGAGAAGAUCGACGUGGACGUCGGCAGGCUCGGCGCUCGCGAGAGCCGCGCGCUCAUCGACCGCCUCGUCCGCGCCGCCGACGACGAUCACGAGCGCUUCCUGCUCAAGCUCAAGGACCGCAUGGACAGGGUAGGGAUAGAUUACCCGACCAUCGAGGUGCGGUUCGAGAAGCUGGAGGUGGAGGCGGAGGUGCUCGUCGGCAACCGGGCCCUGCCCACGCUCGUCAACUCCGUCAGGAACACGCUGGAGGCUAUCGGGCAUGCUCUCCACAUCUUUCCCCGAAGGAAGCAUUCGAUGACCAUACUCCAUGAUGUUAGUGGGAUCAUCAAGCCACGGAGGAUGACUUUGCUAUUAGGACCUCCUGGGUCUGGCAAGACCACGUUGCUCUUGGCAUUGGCCGGGAAGCUUGACAAGGAGCUCAAGGUUUCAGGUAAGGUUUCCUACAACGGCUAUGAGAUGAAUGAAUUUGUCCCUGAAAGAACAGCUGCGUACAUUAGCCAGCAUGAUCUCCACACUGGGGAGAUGACUGUAAGGGAGACCUUGGCCUUUUCAGCACGCUGCCAAGGUGUUGGCUCUCGAUAUGAAAUGUUGACUGAGUUGGCAAGAAGGGAAAAUACAGAGAACAUCAAGCCAGAUAAUGAUAUCGAUGUUUAUAUGAAGGCCUCAGCAAUGGGAGGACAAGAAUACAACGUUGUUACAGAGUAUAUACUGAAGGUGCUAGGAUUGGAUAUCUGUGCUGACACAGUGGUAGGAAAUGACAUGUUAAGGGGUAUAUCCGGUGGACAAAGGAAGCGUGUGACAACAGGUGAAAUGCUUGUUGGUCCAGCAAGAGCUCUGUUCAUGGAUGAGAUAUCUACUGGGCUGGACAGUUCAACCACAUACCAGAUUGUGAACUCCAUUAGGCAGACUAUCCACGUCCUUGGUGGGACUGCUGUCAUCUCCUUGCUCCAGCCGGCACCAGAAACAUACGACUUAUUUGACGAUAUUAUACUCCUCUCUGAUGGGUAUGUUGUGUACCAAGGAGCCCGUGAACACGUUCUCGAGUUCUUUGAGUCAAUGGGCUUCAGAUGCCCGCAGAGAAAGGGUGUUGCGGACUUCUUGCAGGAAGUGACAUCAAGGAAAGAUCAAGAGCAAUAUUGGUAUAGGAGUGACAUGCCAUAUCAUUUCGUGCCCGUGAAGCAAUUUGCUGAUUCAUUCCAUUCCUUCCACAUGGGACAAUUUGUUCAUAAUGAGCUUUUAGAGCCAUUUGACAGGACCAAGAGCCACCCUGCUGCUCUUGCUACCUCAAAGUUUGGUGUCAGUAGGAUAGAGCUUCUCAAGGCAACCAUGGAUAGAGAGUUUCUACUUAUGAAGAGGAACUCAUUUUAUUUUAUUUGUAAAGCUGCUCAACUAUGUCUUAUGGCAUUCCUUGCGAUGAGUACAUUUUUCCGUACCAACAUGCACCGUGACCCCACUUACGGAACAAUAUAUAUGGGGGCACUAUACUUCGCCAUUGACGCAAUCAUGUUUAAUGGUUUCUCAGAGCUUGGCAUGACUGCCACGAAACUUCCUGUUUUCUUCAAGCAGAGGGAUCUUCUUUUUUUUCCUGCAUGGGCCUACACCAUACCAGCGUGGAUUCUCCAGAUUCCUAUAACUUUUUUUGAGGUCGGAGUUUAUGUUUUCACAACAUACUAUGUCAUUGGAUUUGAUCCCAGCAUAAGCAGAUUAUUUAAGCAGUAUAUGCUGCUCCUUGCACUCAAUCAGAUGUCAUCCUCACUGUUCCGCUUCAUUGCUGGACUUGGAAGAGACAUGGUUGUGUCUAGCACCUUUGGGCCCUUAGCAUUGGCGUCUUUUACAAUAUUGGGUGGCUUUAUUCUUGCAAGACCUGAUGUGAAGAAAUGGUGGAUUUGGGGUUACUGGGUAUCUCCAUUGUCGUAUGCACAGAAUGCUAUUUCAACAAAUGAAUUUCUGGGCCAUAGUUGGAACAAGAUUCUUCCUGGACAAAAUGAUACAAUGGGAAUUAUGGUCCUGAAAUCUCGUGGAAUUUUUACUGAGGCCAAGUGGUAUUGGAUUGGAUUUGGUGCAAUGAUUGGAUACACACUCCUCUUCAACCUGCUAUACACCCUAGCUCUUUCAGUUUUGAAUCCACUAGGUGACACUCACCCAACAAUGCCUGAAAAUGCAAUAAAGGAAAAGCACGCCAACGUAACUGGAGAAAAUUUGGAAGAUCCCGAGAAAAAGAAAUGUAGAAAGCUAGAAUUGUCUGGCGGCGCCAACCAAAACUGUGCGACCAGCAACGUGGGUUCUAGUUCAAGAAGGAAGGGCAUGGUGCUCCCAUUUGCGCAACUGUCACUAAGCUUUAACGCUGUAAAAUACUCAGUGGACAUGCCACAGGCAAUGUCGGCACAAGGAGUGACAGAUGACCACUUGGUGCUUCUAAAGGGAGUUAGUGGUUCUUUCAGGCCAGGAGUACUUACCGCGUUGAUGGGUGUGAGUGGUGCCGGAAAGACUACUCUUAUGGAUGUAUUAGCGGGAAGAAAAACUGGAGGUUACAUAGAGGGGGAUAUCACCAUCUCAGGCUAUCCAAAGAAGCAAGAGACUUUUGCACGUAUAUCAGGAUACUGUGAGCAAAAUGAUAUUCAUUCUCCGCACGUAACUGUUUAUGAGUCACUCGCGUUUUCCGCAUGGCUGCGGCUUCCAUCGGAAGUUGAUUUAGUCACAAGAAAGAUGUUUAUCGAGGAGGUCAUGGAGCUUGUAGAGCUCACCUCAUUGUGGGGUGCACUUGUUGGUCUUCCAGGAGUUAAUGGCCUAUCAACUGAGCAACGCAAGAGACUAACUAUUGCUGUGGAGCUUGUUGCUAACCCUUCAAUUAUUUUUAUGGAUGAACCAACAUCUGGUCUUGAUGCUCGGGCAGCCGCAAUUGUCAUGAGGGCGGUAAGGAAUACUGUAAAUACUGGUAGGACAGUUGUCUGCACUAUUCACCAGCCAAGUAUUGACAUAUUUGAAGCAUUUGAUGAGCUUUUCCUAAUGAAGAGAGGAGGAGAAGAGAUAUAUGUCGGCCCACUAGGCCAUAAUUCCUCAAAAUUGAUUGAGUACUUCGAGGGAAUUGAAGGCGUCAGUAAGAUAAAAGAUGGAUAUAACCCAGCAACAUGGAUGCUGGAAGUGACAUCUAUUGUCCAAGAGGAGAUGCUUAGUGUUGACUUCUGCGAAAUCUACAGGCGAUCAGAACUCUACCAAAGGAACAAGGAACUUAUAGAAGAGCUAAGCACACCACAUCCUGAUUCCAGUGAUCUCGACUUCCCUUCGCUGUACUCUAGAUCAUUCUUCACACAAUGCCUAGCUUGCCUAUGGAAGCAGAAGUUAUCAUAUUGGAGGAACCCAUCUUAUACAGCAAUGAGAUUUCUCUUCACUAUCAUCAUUGCACUACUGUUUGGGACAAUGUUUUGGGGCCUGGGACAAAAAACUAAAAGAGAACAAGAUCUGUUCAAUGCAGUGGGAUCGAUGUAUGCCGCAGUUCUUUACCUCGGAAUCCAAAACUCUGGUACCGUUCAACCGGUGGUGGCAGUGGAGCGCACAGUUUUUUAUAGAGAAAGAGCAGCCGGCAUGUAUUCAGCUUUCCCAUAUGCAUUUGGACAGGUUGCGAUUGAAUUUCCAUACAUCCUCGUGCAGACCGUGAUAUAUGGUGUACUAGUCUAUUCGAUGAUUGGAUUUGAGUGGAGUGUUGCCAAGUUUUUUUGGUACUUGUUCUUCAUGUACUUCACGCUUCUAUAUUUCACCUUCUACGGGAUGAUGGCGGUAGGACUGACACCAAACGAGAGCGUAGCAGCAAUCAUCUCAGGAGCGGUCUACAAUGCGUGGAACCUCUUCUCAGGAUAUCUUAUUCCUCGACCUAAAAUUCCUGUUUGGUGGAGAUGGUAUAGUUGGAUUUGCCCAGUUGCAUGGACACUAUAUGGAUUGGUUGCUUCGCAGUUUGGUGAUAUUCAAACGAAACUCGUCACGAAAGAUCAAACUGUGUCCCAGUUCAUCGCAGAGUUCUAUGGGUUCGACCGUGACUUGUUGUGGGUUGUUGCAGUAGUUCAUGUUGCUUUCACCGUGGCUUUCGCUUUCAUGUUCAGUUUUGCCAUUAUGAGGUUCAACUUCCAGAGGAGAUGA